rnacentral:rRNA from 1 species
GUCGAACGGGAUUUAGUAAACAGAAGCCUCGGUGGAAGAUUACUAAUGAGACUGUCGAACGGGUGAGUAACGCGUGAGCAACCUGCCUAUGACAGUGGGAUAGCCUCGGGAAACCGGGAUUAAUACCGCAUAAAAUCGUAGAAACACAUGUUUCAACGGUCAAAGAUUUAUCGGUCAUAGAUGGGCUCGCGUCUGAUUAGCUAGUUGGUGAGAUAACAGCCCACCAAGGCGACGAUCAGUAGCCGGUCUGAGAGGAUGAACGGCCACAUUGGAACUGAGACACGGUCCAAACUCCUACGGGAGGCAGCAGUGGGGAAUAUUGCACAAUGGGGGAAACCCUGAUGCAGCGACGCCGCGUGAACGAAGAAGGUAUUCGUAUCGUAAAGUUCCGUCCUAUGGGAAGAUAAUGACAGUACCAUAGAAGAAAGCUCCGGCUAAAUACGUGCCAGCAGCCGCGGUAAUACGUAUGGAGCGAGCGUUGUCCGGAAUUAUUGGGCGUAAAGGGUACGCAGGCGGUUUAAUAAGUCGAAUGUUAAAGAUCGGGGCUCAACCCCGUAAAGCAUUGGAAACUGAUAAACUUGAGUAGUGGAGAGGAAAGUGGAAUUCCUAGUGUAGUGGUGAAAUACGUAGAUAUUAGGAGGAAUACCAGUAGCGAAGGCGACUUUCUGGACACAAACUGACGCUGAGGUACGAAAGCGUGGGGAGCAAACAGGAUUAGAUACCCUGGUAGUCCACGCCGUANACGAUGAAUGCUAGGUGUUGGGGGU